AAACUUUCAACAACGGAUCUCUUGGCUCUGGCAUCGAUGAAGAACGCAGCGAAAUGCGAUAAGUAAUGUGAAUUGCAGAAUUCAGUGAAUCAUCGAAUCUUUGAACGCACAUUGCGCCCGCCGGUAUUCCGGCGGGCAUGCCUGUCCGAGCGUCAUUU
rnacentral:rRNA from 8 species